CCCCUAGAUGUCCUGGGCCGCACGCGCGCUACACUGAACGGAUCAGCGCGUUUUCCCUUCCCGAGAGGGACGGGUAACCUGCUGAACCCCGUUCGUGGUAGGGAUCGGGGCUUGCAAUUAUUCCCCGUGAACCAGGAAUGCCCAGUAAGUGCAAGUCAUAAGCUUGCGUUGAUUACGUCCCUGCCCUUUGUACACACCGCCCGUCGCUCCUACCGAUGAAUCGUCCGGUGAAGUUCAUGGAGUCGCGGCUGCUCCAGCCGUUUUCGAAGUGAAAUGGACCUCAUGAUUUAGAGGAAGGAGAAGUCGUAACA
rnacentral:rRNA from 1 species